AAGAGGUCCCGAAAAAGAAGAGCUAAUAUAAUCUGGUAGUUUUCGUUUUAAUGAAAUUAUAAAGCUUAUAUUAGUAGUGAAACGCUAGACGAUUCUUUAUAUCUGGUUACCAGUGAAUUAAAUUAGAUU
rnacentral:lncRNA from 1 species